rnacentral:rRNA from 1 species
GAUGUAUAUAUAUAUCUCGUGUAGUAGUAGUUAAGGUAAUUGCUUAACUAGCUUAAUGCACGUAGUCGUAACUGAAAGGUUGAUCGAUCACAGUGUGGCCUGAAUAAAGCCCACGACUUCAGCAGUGAGGAAUAUUGGUCAAUAGCCUAACGGCUGAACCAGCAACUUGGAGGAAUGUUUUAGGUAAAACUAAAUGUAUAUUUUAAAAUACAUAUACGAUAUAUUCGUAUAAAAUUCUAGGUAGAAUAAUGAUAAUGACAUUGUCUAUCUAUAAGUCUUGACCAACAUGCGUGCCAGCAGUCGCGGCAAGACGCUAAAGACUAGUGUUAUUCAUCUUUAAUAGGUUUAAAGCGUAACUAGACGGUAAAUCAAGCCUUAACCGGGACUAAUUUAACUAGAGUUAGAUGUAAGGGUGCAUUAACGUACUGUUGAGUGUAGAGAUGAAAUUCUUUGAUACCAGAUGAUUGGCACGGGUUAAGGCGAAAGCAUCACCUUAUGUAAUAACUGACGUUGAGGGACGAAGGCUUUGUGUCGCGAACAGGAUUAGAUACCCUAGUAGUCUAAGCAGAAAAUGAUGAGUGUCAUAGGCUAGAUAUUGUUUAGUCUAUAAAUGAAAGUGUAAGCAUUCCACCUCAAGAGUAAUUUGGCAACAUUGGAACUGAAAUCAUUAGACCGUUUCUGAAACCAGUAGUGGAGUAUGUUGUUUAAUUAGAUAAUACACAAAGAACCUUACCACAAUUUGAAUAUUUUACAAGCGUUGCACGGCUGUUUUCAGUUAAUGUCGUGAGAUUUUGGUUAGUUCCAUUAAAUUAACGUAAUCCCUUACUUUAUUUUAUUUUAAUAAAAAUUAAUAAUUAUAUAAAGUAGUUCGCUAAGAUAUUGG